AUUGAACGCUGGCGGCAGGCUUAACACAUGCAAGUCGAGCGGAGCGAGGGUGGUUGCACCUUAGCUUAGCGGCGGACGGGUGAGUAAUGCUUAGGAAUCUGCCUAUUAGUGGGGGACAACAUUCCGAAAGGAAUGCUAAUACCGCAUACGCCCUACGGGGGAAAGCAGGGGAUCUUCGGACCUUGCGCUAAUAGAUGAGCCUAAGUCGGAUUAGCUAGUUGGUGGGGUAAAGGCCUACCAAGGCGACGAUCUGUAGCGGGUCUGAGAGGAUGGUCCGCCACACUGGGACUGAGACACGGCCCAGACUCCUACGGGAGGCAGCAGUGGGGAAUAUUGGACAAUGGGCGGAAGCCUGAUCCAGCCAUGCCGCGUGUGUGAAGAAGGCCUUUUGGUUGUAAAGCACUUUAAGCGAGGAGGAGGCUACUUAGAUUAAUACUCUGGGAUAGUGGACGUUACUCGCAGAAUAAGCACCGGCUAACUCUGUGCCAGCAGCCGCCGUAA
rnacentral:rRNA from 1 species